rnacentral:rRNA from 1 species
UACAGAGGGUGCAAGCGUUGCUCGGAAUCAUUGGGCGUAAAGGGCAGGUAGGUGGUCUCGUUUGUCUGGGGUGAAAGCCCAGGGCUUAACCCUGGAAGUGCCCCGGAAACGGCGAGACUGGAGUCUUGGAGAGGGUCGUGGAAUUCCCGGUGUAGCGGUGAAAUGCGUAGAGAUCGGGAGGAACACCAGCGGCGAAGGCGGCGACCUGGACAAGUACUGACACUCAACUGCGAAAGCGUGGGGAGCAAACAGG